rnacentral:rRNA from 1 species
CAUCAUUCAAAGUUUUCUGACCUAUCAUGCUCUCGAUGGUAGUGUAUUGGACUACCAUGGCAGUCACGGGUAACGGAGAAUUAGGGGUUCGAUUCCGGAGAAGGAGCCUGAGAAACGGCUACUACAUCUAAGGAAGGCAGCAGGCGCGUAAAUUACCCAAUCCUAAAUCAGGGAGGUAGUGACAAGAUAUAACAACGCGAUUAAAUGUCGCGAUUGUAGUGAGGGUAUUACUAAAAAUAGCUUCGAGUACGAUUGGAGGGCAAGUCUGGUGCCAGCAGCCGCGGUAAUUCCAGCUCCAAUAGCGUAUAUUAAAGUUGCUGCAGUUAAAAAGCUCGUAGUUGAACUUCAUGAGCAGUAGGUAGCUUACUACCUGCUCUCUACCAGUCUUUCGACUGUUACUGUGAGAAAAUUAGAGUGUUUCAAGCAGGCUAUUGCAGGAAUACAUUAGCAUGGAAUAACGAAUGUACCUACAAUUUGGUUAAUUGUAGAUUACUAUUAAUAGG